AGUGAACGCUGGCGGUAGGCUUAACACAUGCAAGUCGAAUGGCGGCAUAGUAGGAGCUUGCUCUUACGGGUGGCGCGUGGCGGAGUGGUGAGGAAUACAUCGGAAUCUACUUUUUCGUUGAGGAUAACGAAGGGAAACUUAUGCUAAUACAGCAUACGACCUAAGGGUGAAAGCAUGGGUUAUUCUGACCUUGCGCGAGUGAAUGCGCCGAUGUCGGAUUAGCUAGUUGGCGGGGUAACGGCCCACCACGGCGACGAUCCGUAGCUGGGCUGAGGGGAUGAGAAGCCGCACAGGAACUGAGACACGGACCAAACUCCUACAGGAGGCAGCGGGGGAGAAUAUUGGACAAUGGGCGCAAGCCUGAUCCAGCCAAACCGCGUGGGUGAAGAAGGCCUGCGGGGUGUUAAGCCCUUAUGUUGUGAAAGAAGAGCAGCAGGUUAAUACCCCGCUGUUCUGACGGUACCCAAAGAAUAAGCACCGGCUAACUUCGUG
rnacentral:rRNA from 1 species